rnacentral:rRNA from 1 species
CUGUCGUCAGCUCGUGCUGUGAAGUGUCGGGUUAAGUCCCUUAAAAAGCGCAACCCCUAUCGUUAGUUACUAACGCGUCAAUGGCGAGGACUCUAGCGAGACUGCCGGUGUCAAACCGGAGGAAGGUGGGGAUGACGUCAAGUCCUCAUGGCCCUUAUGUCUAGGGAUGCAAACGUGCUACAAUGGUAUGGACAAAGCGAUGCAAUACCGCGAGGUGGAGCAAAUCGCAAAAACCAUGCCCCAGUUCGGAUAGCAGGCUGAAAUUCGCCUGCUUGAAGCCGGAAUCGCUAGUAAUCGCGUAUCAGCUACGACGCGGUGAAUACGUUCCUGAG